rnacentral:tRNA from 1 species
GGAGAAAUGGCUCAGUGGUUAAGAGCACUGCCUGCUGUUGCAGAAGAUCAGGGUUCAAUUCCCAGUAUUCACA